rnacentral:rRNA from 1 species
AUAGCGUAUAUUAAAGUUGUUGCGGUUAAAACGCUCGUAGUUGGAUCUGCGGCCUCGGAGAACGGUCCCCCGAAAGGGUGGUCACUGUCUCUCCUAGCCUAAAUUCGAGUCGUCUCUAGGUGCUCUUUACCGGGUGCUUAGAGUGACUAGAACGUUUACUUUGAAAAAAUUAGAGUGCUUAAAGCAGGCGAAAUAGCCUGAAUAAGGUGCAUGGAAUAAUGGAAUAGGACCUCGGUUCUAUUUUGUUGGUUUUCGGAACCCGAGGUAAUGAUUAAGAGGAACAGACGGGGGCAUUCGUAUUCCGGCGCUAGAGGUGAAAUUCUUGGACCGCCGGAAGACGGACGACUG